GCGGCCGCUUCAGCCACUAAACGUUCGGGGUCGGCAGUCGCAUGCAAACUUCGCAGUAGGCAGCAGAGAGUGCUGUUCUAUAAGGAGUUGUUACUAUCAAUCUGAUUCUCGUUUUAGCGAAAAGUCGAAGAGGAAAACGUGGAAGAGGGGUAAAGAAUUUCUGGACUCUUUCUGCUCAUGGAAAAGAGCCCUCUAUCUUUUGCAAGCGCUGAUAUGGGACCAAGAAAAAGACAUGAAUGGACGUGGAGACAAAAGAAGAGGAAAACCCUAAUGGUAAAAAGAUGAAAACGGAUCUUGCGUCAGACCUGAUGAGGUAGCAGAGGAAUUGGAAAGUUCCACCUAAGGCCACUGAAUCAAAAUGAAAGAAAGGAAGCCAGGAAAUUGCAAAAGUAAAACAGCUGUGUGCAAAAUGUUACUUGACAUGAAAUACUGCCAGGGGAGAUCUGAACAUACCAAUGUUCUGUGCUGGCCUCUGCUACAAAGAGCAACCAGAGACUUCAACUGCCUUGAAGGUAAGAAGAGAGAAUAACACUUGGCAUCAUGUAAGGAGCUCUGACAUAUCCCAGGUAAAAUCAACAGUAUAUAGCAAAGCAUGACAGCUAGGAGAAAGGGGCAGUUAUCUUUAUCAUCU
rnacentral:lncRNA from 1 species